rnacentral:rRNA from 1 species
AGUUGGGAAUCUUGGACAAUGGGGGAAACCCUGAUCCAGCCAUGCCGCGUGAGUGAUGAAGGCCUUCGGGUUGUAAAACUCUUUCGACGGGGACGAUAAUGACGGUACCCGUAGAAGAAGCUCCGGCUAACUUCGUGCCAGCAGCCGCGGUAAUACGAAGGGGGCUAGCGUUGUUCGGAAUUACUGGGCGUAAAGCGCGCGCAGGCGGUCUUCCAAGUCAGUGGUGAAAGCCUGGAGCUCAACUCCAGAACUGCCAUUGAAACUGUUGGACUUGAGUACGAGAGAGGUGAGUGGAAUUCCCAGUGUAGAGGUGAAAUUCGUAGAUAUUGGGAAGAACACCGGUGGCGAAGGCGGCUCACUGGCUCGUAACUGACGCUCAGGCGCGACAGCGUGGGGAUCAAA